AUGCGAUGAAGAGACUGAUGAUCACGAAAACCCUGACGUCUUAUCAUUGACACCUAAAGACCCAUCGGAUUCCGAAUCGUUAGGAAAACGGGGUCGUCGAUGAGUGUGGGCGAGCGACUAAUCUUCUCUCUGAGCAUU
rnacentral:snoRNA from 1 species